rnacentral:rRNA from 1 species
CCUACGGGAGGCAGCAGUAAGGAAUAUUGGACAAUGGGCGCAAGCCUGAUCCAGCCAUGCCGCGUGAAGGAUUAAGGUCCUCUGGAUUGUAAACUUCUUUUAUAGGGGACGAAAAAAGGGCAUUCUUGCUCACUUGACGGUACCCUAUGAAUAAGCACCGGCUAACUCCGUGCCAGCAGCCGCGGUAAUACGGAGGGUGCAAGCGUUAUCCGGAUUCACUGGGUUUAAAGGGUGCGUAGGCGGGCAGGUAAGUCAGUGGUGAAAUCCUAGAGCUUAACUCUAGAACUGCCAUUGAUACUAUCUGUCUUGAAUAUUGUGGAGGUAAGCGGAAUAUGUCAUGUAGCGGUGAAAUGCUUAGAUAUGACAUAGAACACCUAUUGCGAAGGCAGCUUACUACGCAUAUAUUGACGCUGAGGCACGAAAGCGUGGGGAUCAAACAGGAUUAGAUACCCUGGUAGUCCACGCCCUAAACGAUGGAUACUCGACAUACGCGAUACACUGUGUGUGUCUGAGCGAAAGCAUUAAGUAUCCCNCCNCGGAGACGUCCGCGAGAGAGAACGACAANAGAGUAGUACGGACGUUGAGGACGUUGCCGACGGGACGACGACGAGGGGAGGGUAGGGAG